UGUCAGCAGCAUAACGUAAGAGGCUGCAGUUCUUGCAGUUCGGUUACCUUUUUCUGUGAAUCUAAGAAGCUUGGUCGCAGAGGAUUCGGAGGAACAUUUAAGGUAAUUAAUUAAAUUAAUGAGCAUGAAUUUGAGCAGGGGACCUUGGCCGAUGGUGGAGAAAUAGCAAUAAAACGGUUACAAAUAAACAAAAAGACUCGAAUUAAUCAAGGAGAAGGAGAUUUGCAAUGGAUUCGAGAUCAUUAGUCGAGCUCAACAGAAGAACUUGGUUCGAUUCCUUGGCUGCUGCUUCACAAAAGCAGACGUCUACGUUGUCUCUGAAUACGUUGCAAACAAAAGCCAUGACCGAAUUUUGUUCGGUAAGCAAUCUGAUUAAUGACGUUUUAAUUCUCUAAAACAAUUAAUUAACCUCUUUUAACUCAUUUUCCCCUGCGAAUGGAAGAAAGACCCUGAGGAGAAGAAGAAAAAAGGCUUAAAAUAAUCAUAAGAACGGCCCAAGAUUUAGUAUUUUCACUGUUCUGACAUGCAGAUUAUUCAUUUGGAUAUCAAAACAAGUGAUAUUUUACUAGACUUAAAACACAGACCGAAAAUAGACGAUUUUGGGCUCGUCCGGUUUUGCUCAAGCAAACGAUACCUAAAAUUAUCAAUAAUUUUCCUGGAAAAUUCUUCAUCUUUUUAUUCAAAUUUUAAUUCUUUAGAGGGUAUGUGACUCCGGAAUAUAUUAUGAAGGGACAAUUGACCGAGACAGUAGACGCUUAGAGUCUUGGAGUUCUUGCGCUUGAAAUCAACAGCGGGAUAAAGGGUAAUAAAUUUCAGUCCAAGUAUUGUUUAGAAACUCUACUUGUUAACACAUGGAAGCACUUCCAGGCAAACAAACAAUCUGAAAGAAUAGACAAAAGCUUGGAGAAUACGGCAGAAGAAAUAAAAGAAGUUGAAAGAGUCAUUUGGAUAGGUCUAUUGUGCACGCAAGAGCCAGUGUUUCGUCGUCCAACAAUGACAAGGAUCGUUCAAAUGCUUAAACAAGAGGAUACUCCAUUGCCGUCUCCAUUUAAAGACGACAAUGCAGGGAGUGAGUUUAACGUCGCCCUCUCGCAGCCAAUCCAUACAAAAAGGUUCCCAGAAUUUUAGAUGAUCGAUUAGUAUACCGUCAUCUGAGGACAAGUUUGCAUUUUUUGUUUGUUCUUUGUUUAGCUUUUUUAAUUGGGCACUUACUUUUCGGCCUUCUAGAUAGGCUUAAAUUUUUAUAUUAAUUUAGUGAAGAUUAGUGCGUAA